UAAUUACUGUAUGUGGGAGCUUCACCACCAUCUCUGAUUUUCAUUAUGUUUGACUCUUUCUCUGAUUCAAUCUGUUGCCUUUACCAAAUCACCUUUGUCGCACCUUCAUUUGGAAUCUUCAAGUCAAAAAAUGUCUCUCAUCGAAUCUCUCAGCCGCACUCUGCCUUUCUCUCUCACCCUUUUUUAGAAUCUUUCAGUCGUUUUCUCUCUUUCACUCUUACCCUUUUUCAAAAGUUUCACUUUCAACCCUAAGUCUGAUUUGGGAAUUGACCAUAUGAACGAAGCAAUCAAAGAGGGCUGAGGGCUGAGGGCUGAGGGCUGAGGUAUAAAAGGACGAUAUUACCCUCAGCAGAUCGCUCACGUGGUGUUUUUAACGGGCAUUUGGAUGGAAUUAGGGAUUCAGUAGUUUACCCUCAGCAGUCGAAAUAGUCCAUGGGGUAUUCGGUAGUUUACCACAAACAAAAAAUUUUCACCGACUUUUUAGAUUAACCAAAAGGAUUAACUGGUGAUUUGCCCCCUAAACUUAUACCUAACUUUUGAUUUACUCUCUAUCCUUUUUUUUAAAGAAAAUUAUGGAUAUGAACUUCCUUUUUUCACCAUUUUCCCUACUGCCGUAUAAAUCUGCAACAUUUCAUCCAAUUAAAUAUGAGGGCAAAAUGGUCAUUUUGCACAUUUAAAAUAAAUUAAAAAAUGAAAAAUAAAACAAAAACAAGAAAAUUCAAAUAAUACUCUCUCUCUCUCUCUCUCUCU
rnacentral:lncRNA from 1 species